ACUGUCUGAAAAUCACCUGUGGCCUCGUUCAGUGACCUUGGGUGAGAUAAUCGUGCCAACAGCAAAGGGAGCAUUAAGCUUAUUGCCCGCAGACUAAUUGUGUGGAGAAUAAAACCCAUGCUCCUAUAACG
rnacentral:snoRNA from 1 species